ACGCCGACAUGGCCGGCGCGGGUGAAAGGGUAGUAUCUGUUCUUAUCAGCUGAAUAUCUGAUACGGGUUGUAUUUGUACCUAAGAUAUUAAACUUAUUUUUGCAAGUUGGCGGAGUGCUUGAAGCUUGCUUCACCUCCGCCACGGGCAGGCGCGGUAUUGCACUAUCUUCAGGAUCAGCCCAGAUUAU